UGGCUCAGAGGUUAAAGCGUCUGCCUGGAAUGCAGGAGAUUCAGGUUCGAUCCCUGG
rnacentral:tRNA from 1 species